UGGGGAAUUUUGGACAAUGGGCGAAAGCCUGAUCCAGCAAUGCCGCGUGUGUGAAGAAGGCCUUCGGGUUGUAAAGCACUUUUGUCCGGAAAGAAAUGGCUCUGGUUAAUACCUGGGGUCGAUGACGGUACCGGAAGAAUAAGGACCGACUAACUACGUGCCAGCAGCCGCGGUAAUACGUAGGGUCCAAGCGUUAAUCGGAAUUACUGGGCAUAAAGCGUGCGCAGGCGGUUGUGCAAGACCGAUGUGAAAUCCCCGAGCUUAACUUGGGAAUUGCAUUGGUGACUGCACGGCUAGAGUGUGUCAGAGGGGGGUAGAAUUCCACGUGUAGCAGUGAAAUGCGUAGAGAUGUGGAGGAAUACCGAUGGCGAAGGCAGCCCCCUGGGAUAACACUGACGCUCAUGCACGAAAGCGUGGGGAGCAAACAGG
rnacentral:rRNA from 1 species